AACUAGUUAAAUGGCUUCUCUUCUUUGGCAGGUGAUGGUAUAGAUUACAACUUAUAGCUUUAAUCUAGUAUUCAGUUACCCGCCAAAGGAGAGUUGCCCUCUAACUUCC
rnacentral:pre_miRNA from 1 species